CCUACGGGAGGCAGCAGUAGGGAAUAUUGCUCAAUGGGGGAAACCCUGAAGCAGCAACGCCGCGUGGAGGAUGAAGGUUUUCGGAUUGUAAACUCCUUUUGUUAGAGAAGAUAAUGACGGUAUCUAACGAAUAAGCACCGGCUAACUCCGUGCCAGCAGCCGCGGUAAUACGGAGGGUGCAAGCGUUACUCGGAAUCACUGGGCGUAAAGAGCGCGUAGGCGGGAUAGCAAGUCAGAUGUGAAAUCCUAUGGCUUAACCAUAGAACUGCAUUUGAAACUGGUAUUCUAGAGUAUGGGAGAGGUAGGUGGAAUUCUUGGUGUAGGGGUAAAAUCCGUAGAGAUCAAGAGGAAUACUCAUUGCGAAGGCGACCUACUAGAACAUAACUGACGCUGAUGCGCGAAAGCGUGGGGAGCAAACAGGAUUAGAUACCCUUGUAGUC
rnacentral:rRNA from 1 species